UACGUAGGGUGCAAGCGUUGUCCGGAAUUAUUGGGCGUAAAGAGCUCGUAGGCGGUCUGUCGCGUCUGCUGUGAAAAUCCAGGGCUCAACCCUGGACCUGCAGUGGGUACGGGCAGACUAGAGUGCGGUAGGGGAGAUCGGAAUUCCUGGUGUAGCGGUGAAAUGCGCAGAUAUCAGGAGGAACACCGGUGGCGAAGGCGGAUCUCUGGGCCGUAACUGACGCUGAGGAGCGAAAGCUAGGGGAGCAAACGGG
rnacentral:rRNA from 1 species